GUGAGGAAUAUUGGUCAAUGGGCGGGAGCCUGAACCAGCCAAGUCGCGUGAAGGAAGAAGGAUCUAUGGUUCGUAAACUUCUUUUGCAGGGGAAUAAAGUGCAGGACGUGUCCUGUUUUGUAUGUACCCUGAGAAUAAGGAUCGGCUAACUCCGUGCCAGCAGCCGCGGUAAUACGGAGGAUCCGAGCGUUAUCCGGAUUUAUUGGGUUUAAAGGGUGCGUAGGUGGUUUGAUAAGUCAGCGGUGAAAGUUUGCAGCUUAACUGUAAAAAUGCCGUUGAAACUGUCGGACUUGAGUGUAAAUGAGGUAGGCGGAAUGCGUGGUGUAGCGGUGAAAGGCAUAGAUAUCACGCAGAACUCCGAUUGCGAAGGCAGCUUACUAAGCUACAACUGACACUGAAGCACGAAAGCGUGGGGAUCAAACAGGAUUAGAUACCCUAGUAGUCC
rnacentral:rRNA from 1 species